rnacentral:lncRNA from 1 species
AAGCCCUUGUUGUCCUUUAAAUGAUCUGCAAGCAAUCUCUUACGAUGAUUGAUGCAACAUUUGUAGUAAUGAAUCUUAGAGUUGUCAACCUAGGAUGUAGGGUGACUAUCUCAUUGUCAAUAUUAAAUGCAUAGUAGAUUGAGUGAUGUGAAUCUUCGGCCCGAGUGAUGAAGUCACGUGGUUUUCAUCCAAUGGAAACCACCUCGACUGAAACUUAAAUAAGCAACCUAUGUAAAAAUUUGUUUUUAAUGCAACUACAUAUACAUAAAACCGCACUUAAACUCCUCACUCAUUUAUUUUCAUGCUCAUUUUGGUUAAGUUUAGUUUGUUUUCUUUUUAGUGGAGUUAUUUACGAUGGUUUGUUUCUAUGCAAUCAUCUUGGAUCAUAUUGUCGAUGCUUGAACAUUUUUGUCUCAUGUUGUAAAGCAUUUCUCAUGUUCGUAAACGGUGUCCAUUUCUAUCUGCGUCUCAUGUCAAAAUGUGUUGGAAUUUGCUUGCAUGGAUGCGAGUGGGCUCGGAAUCUGUUGUCCAUGUAAACCAUUAGAAAAAAAGGGGUUAACAGUACCUAAGUAAAAAUUAGUUGGCAUCAUAAUUUCUUUUAAUCACUAGCGUAGUAUUCUUCGUCAUCAUAAUAAUAUUCUACCUCAUCAUCAUAAUAGAACUCUUCAUAUUGGUCAUCAGUCAUAUGGCCAUUUGGCCGACGAAAAACGCUCAGAGAAGUCAUUGUACUGCAAAUUAUGGGAAAUUCCAUUUUUUGAGAGAAACGAAGUGAGUGCUUGAUAUUCAUGCUAAUAUCAGUGGAGUGUAAUUAUUAGUUUAAGAAAAGUUCUACAUUUGAUUUGAAGUGUGCGAGAAAAAUGGCCAACAAAGAUAAAUGUAAUAUUUAUUGUAAUCAACUGACUACGUGGUGCUCCAAACAUCCAAGAGAAUAACUUCGAGC